CAGGAAGUUACAGUAACAUCUCUGGAGUGACUUGCAAAUUCAUGAGAGUGAGGCAGAUAUGUCCAGCAAGGAAAGGACACGCAAGUACAGGGAAAGACUGAAUGCAGACCCUGUGACGAGAGAGGAUAUCCUCAGGGAAAGAAGAAAAAAGUAUGAAGAGAAGAAACAAAAAGGAAAAAAUGACCCUCGCAGUGUCAAAUCACUUCCUCCUUCUAAGCAAGACACAUUGAGGGAGAAAUGGAGAAAUGCACAAAGGACACACAGAAAAAGAAAA